AACCCUUAUCCCCAGUUGCCAUCAGGUAAAGCUGGGAACUCUGGGAGACUGCCGGUGAUAACCGGAGGAAGGUGGGGAUGACGUCAAGUCCUCAUGGCCCUUAUGUCCAGGGCUACACACGUGCUACAAUGGCCGGUACAAAGGGCUGCAAGACCGUGAGGUUGAGCGAAUCCCAGAAAGCCGGUCUCAGUUCGGAUUGGAGUCUGCAACUCGACUCCAUGAAGUUGGAAUCGCUAGUAAUCGCGGAUCAGCAUGCCGCGGUGAAUACCGGUUCCCGGGCCUU
rnacentral:rRNA from 1 species